rnacentral:rRNA from 1 species
UACAGAGGGGGCAAGCGUUAUUCGGAAUUAUUGGGCGUAAAGGGCGCGUAGGCGGCUUGGCAAGUGGAUGGUGAAAUCCCUCGGCUUAACCGAGGAACUGCCGUCCAAAACUGCUUCGCUUGAGACCGGGAGAGGUGAGUGGAAUUCCCAGUGUAGCGGUGAAAUGCGUAGAUAUUGGGAGGAACACCAGUGGCGAAGGCGGCUCACUGGACCGGUACUGACGCUGAGUGCGCGAAAGCGUGGGGAGCAAACGGG